ACCUGCAGAAACGUGAGCAUCUCCAAAGCAAUCGUGAGCAAGGACUUCACCCAGAAAAAAAAAGAGGAGGGAGGAGGACCGUAGCCAUAACGCCAUGCCCUCAAUCAGCUCCUGCAGCUAAUUACAACUAAUUACCCCGUGCAAAUUGACGGCCAGGGCUCGGGGGGCAGGCCCCAGGGAACCAGCGGAGCCAAGUGGCAAAGGGACAAGGGGAUUUGGGGUGAGAUUACGAGAGCAAAAAGGGGACCAAGGGAGGCGUCGGGCAGCAGAGCCGCGUUUAACGGCGCACGGCUCGAGGGCCCCGGCGGCGAUCGGUGCCAGGACCCGGCCCCGUCUUUAAUUUACGGACAAUUUGAUGGCGGUGCUGAUCCCGACGAGCUGCUGGACACCGGCUGCAGCUCUUCCCCGACCCCAUUUUUGCUCUUUGAACCAGCAGAGAGGCGGCAGCGGAUCUGGGAGCACACGACGGAGGAGAUUUUGGCUGGGUUGGCUGCCAGAAACUUUACCCAAGCUGAAAAGGGAAAAGCCACGCUGCCAAACCGUCCCAAACCACGUAAAGGGAUUGCCGUUGCACACCGCGCCCGCGUUAUUGCAUCCAGCCCUUAUCUACGUGGCUCACCCUGCUCCAAAACCUUUAUUUGAAGCUUUUAAAACGUUUUAAAAAAGGGAGAAGCUGGAGCCACGGAGAGCAGGGCUGUAAAACCGGAGGCAGGGAUGCCCCUGCUAAUUCUGGCCGCGUCCCGGUCCGUGCGCGACCACGGGGAACCUCACUGCCCACGCAGGGGCGAACACGUUCACCUCUUUCUUCAGCCUCGGGGAUAAAAAUGCGAGCAGCUGCCAGCCCCGGGAACAAAUAUGGGAUUGUUUCAAGCAGUGACACCCAGGCUGCAAGCACGGGAGCUCCGUGGUGGACAGCCCUCGGCCACCAGCACCUGGUUUGUCUCGGCGCUCUGAAUUCGGGGCACCUUUUUUAGGUAAUUACCCGAAUUUUUACCGCUGCGCACCCUGAAAAAGAAACCUCUGAAGUUCUCCGGUUUGGCCUGUAGCUGCUCUUAAAAUCUGCUGCCACGGCCACGAUCACACGAGGGGGUUUUGGGGAGCUGGUUCCUGAGCUGCUCAUCCAGCGAAGGGAAAUUCACAGAAAAUCCCGUUUCUGGAAAAAGACUCGCUGACAGCAAAGAAAAGCCACGUUUUGGCUACCCAAACCCAAAAGUGCCCCGAUUUUAGGCUGAAAAGGACAAAGUCGGCGCUGCUCCCUGCAGCCCCUCUCCCUUGCUUGUUACCAGCCCAUGCCGCUUGCUUUAGGACCAGCAGCUCCCCUAUAAAGGGCCUUAAAAUCCUCCACUAACGCCUCUGAUGAGAAUUUUAGGACUAAUUAACUCUUGGCCUGAUUUUUCAGGGGGAAAACAGGACAGGCAGGAGCGAUGCUCACCCUGGGGGGGCACAGAAAGAGCAGCCGCACACCCACGCCCAGGGGGAUGCUGUGGGUCCGUGCACCCCCGACCAGCAAGGAAAGCAGGACCUGAAGGCUCGUAAUUAAUUCUGUGAACAUCUAAUUAACAUUUUUCCCACCAGGAGAGCCAAAAGGGGCUCGUGGUGGUCAGCUGGUGGGUUGUGGUAGCGCCGGGACGCGGCAAUCCCCUCGCUCUCGGGUUUGAGCUGCUGCUAAGGGCACGGUUCAGAGGUCAGCCCUAUAAUUCAGCCAAAAAGGGGGGAGCCACGGCGAGGUGCUGAAUGAUUUAAACCAUCGUUCUCCCUCCCUUUUUUCCCCCCGGUGAAGGGAGCCACCUGUUCGCGGGGCUGGAGC